rnacentral:rRNA from 1 species
UACGUAGGCAGCGAGCGUUGUUCGGAAUUACUGGGCGUAAAGAGUGUGUAGGCGGUGCUCCCAGUCUGUUGUGAAAUCUCCCGGCUUAACCGGGAGGGUGCGCCGAAAACUGGGAGACUAGAGUGCGGGAUGGGAGAGUAGAAUUCCUGGUGUAGCGGUGAAAUGCGUAGAUAUCAGGAGGAAUACCGGUGGUGCAGACGGCUCUCUGGACCGCAACUGACUCUGAGACACGAAAGCGUGGGUAGCAAACAGG